GUAAUGUCAAUAUUUACGUUUACAUUGUUUUGAUUAAAUAAAUAAAUAUAUAAAUGUUUUUUUUUUUUAAUUAAACAUUUAGCAGUUGUAAUAACAACAACACUUUUCUAUUUAUUCAGCUGAAUGAAUUUGAAAUCUAUAGUUUUUGAAACCCUAUAAAAGGCCGGACACAGGCCAAGAAUAUUCAUCAUUUAUAUCGAUAUGAAGUUUCUUUGCGUCUUUGUUAUUGCCGUUGUGUGCUUACUUGGAGUUGAGAUAGGACUAGCAGCUAGUUCUCCAGCUUCAGGAAUUAGUUCAAGAUGUGGAAAAAUGUUUUGCACAGCAAAUUAUUCACCAGUUUGUGGAGUUCUCAAUGGAAAACGUAGAACCUUCUCAAAUAAGUGUGUAAUGGACACACACAAUGAUUGCCAACCUACAGAAUUGAAAUAUCAGCCUUGUUAAUUCACUUCAUUAAUUUUUUUCUGAAAAAAAAGAAAUAUGUGAAUACAAAAACUACAUAAUAAAAUGUCUAAAAUUGAUUUAAAAAUAUGAUGUAAUAUUAUGAACUUUUUUUAAAAGCCUUAUGUGAUAAAUAGGAAAAA